GGUCUUCGGGAACAGGCUGUUUGUGGCGUGACCUCCGUCGGCGUGGAACAGGGAAUGCCUCCCGUGAAACCAAGAGACCCAGCCCACCCGUGUGGCUCAGUGGUUGAGCAUCCACCCAUGAAUCAGGAGUUCUGUGACCUGCGUCUCCGUGGCCCCAUGAUGCUCCCAGCAACCCUGUCUGCACGCGAGCUGGCACGGAGCCCCCCUUCUUAUCGCCGGACUCACAGGACAGUGUGAUGAAGUGCACCAAGAUCAGAAAUCUGAGGCACGGGUGGGUGGGUGAAGACACUUGCCCGAAGCCACACAGACAGUGGUCGGACUGGACCAACAGCCCAGCAGCCAGACUCCACACGGCUCAUGCCUCAGUAUGAAAGCCCAGUGGCCAAUGGCACAUCAGAAAUCGGAGGCACGGGUGGGUGGGUGAAGACACUUGCCCGAAGCCACACAGACAAUGGCCGGACUGGACCAACAGCCCAGCAGCCAGACUCCACACGGCUCAUGCCUCAGUAUGAAAGCCCAGUGGCCAAUGGCACGUAAGUAGCAAAAAAAA